CUGCAGUCGAGCGAACAGAUAAGGAGCUUGCUCCUUUGACGUUAGCGGCGGACGGGUGAGUAACACGUGGGUAACCUACCUAUAAGACUGGGAUAACUUCGGGAAACCGGAGCUAAUACCGGAUAACAUUUGGAACCGCAUGGUUCUAAAGUGAAAGAUGGUUUUGCUAUCACUUAUAGAUGGACCCGCGCCGUAUUAGCUAGUUGGUAAGGUAACGGCUUACCAAGGCGACGAUACGUAGCCGACCUGAGAGGGUGAUCGGCCACACUGGAACUGAGACACGGUCCAGACUCCUACGGGAGGCAGCAGUAGGGAAUCUUCCGCAAUGGGCGAAAGCCUGACGGAGCAACGCCGCGUGAGUGAUGAAGGGUUUCGGCUCGUAAAACUCUGUUAUUAGGGAAGAACAAACGUGUAAGUAACUGUGCACGUCUUGACGGUACCUAAUCAGAAAGCCACGGCUAACUACGUGCCAGCAGCCGCGGUAAUACGUAGGUGGCAAGCGUUAUCCGGAAUUAUUGGGCGUAAAGCGCGCGUAGGCGGUUUCUUAAGUCUGAUGUGAAAGCCCACGGCUCAACCGUGGAGGGUCAUUGGAAACUGGGAAACUUGAGUGCAGAAGAGGAAAGUGGAAUUCCAUGUGUAGCGGUGAAAUGCGCAGAGAUAUGGAGGAACACCAGUGGCGAAGGCGACUUUCUGGUCUGUAACUGACGCUGAUGUGCGAAAGCGUGGGGAUCAAACAGGAUUAGAUACCCUGGUAGUCCACGCCGUAAACGAUGAGUGCUAAGUGUUAGGGGGUUUCCGCCCCUUAGUGCUGCAGCUAACGCAUUAAGCACUCCGCCUGGGGAGUACGACCGCAAGGUUGAAACUCAAAGGAAUUGACGGGGACCCGCACAAGCGGUGGAGCAUGUGGUUUAAUUCGAAGCAACGCGAAGAACCUUACCAAAUCUUGACAUCCUUUGAAAACUCUAGAGAUAGAGCCUUCCCCUUCGGGGGACAAAGUGACAGGUGGUGCAUGGUUGUCGUCAGCUCGUGUCGUGAGAUGUUGGGUUAAGUCCCGCAACGAGCGCAACCCUUAAGCUUAGUUGCCAUCAUUAAGUUGGGCACUCUAGGUUGACUGCCGGUGACAAACCGGAGGAAGGUGGGGAUGACGUCAAAUCAUCAUGCCCCUUAUGAUUUGGGCUACACACGUGCUACAAUGGACAAUACAAAGGGCAGCUAAACCGCGAGGUCAUGCAAAUCCCAUAAAGUUGUUCUCAGUUCGGAUUGUAGUCUGCAACUCGACUACAUGAAGCUGGAAUCGCUAGUAAUCGUAGAUCAGCAUGCUACGGUGAAUACGUUCCCGGGUCUUGUACACACCGCCCGUCACACCACGAGAGUUUGUAACACCCGAAGCCGGUGGAGUAACCAUUUA
rnacentral:rRNA from 1 species